CUAGGGCUGCUGCGGGCCACUGGGCGCUGGCUGCUCCCGCUCGCCUCUUGGGGUGCGCUCAGCUCCAGCCCAACUCCGCCAACUCCGCCAGCUCCAGCAUCGCUCCAGCCCGAUUCCAGUCCAACUCCAGCCCGGUUCCAGCCCAGUUCCAGCCCGAUUCCAACCCAGCUCCGGCCCGGCUCCGGUUCUCCACCACGCCUCUCUGUCGACGCGACUGAGCAGCUUCGCAGGAAAAUCCCAGAAACCUUUGCAAAAAGCUUACAAUGAAAUUUAAGAAGUUCUACGAUUUCGGCGCCAUUUUCGAGUGGAGUGAGAGGUUGUUUAGUUUUUUCCAGUGUGAAACUCGACAUUGGAAAAGUUUGGCUCCAAGGGUGACCAUCGACUUUUUUCUCCACUGUUCCAUGUCCAUGUAAAAGUGACUUGUAAUAUAGCCAAGAAAAGAUGGAAAUUUUUCGUUUCAACUUAAG
rnacentral:sRNA from 1 species